rnacentral:lncRNA from 1 species
AAAACUUAGACAUGAGAAGUCGCUUAGAUGCCUAGCUGCUGAUACGAGUAACUGCCGACAAGACAACUUUGGGGAGAAAGAAAACCUCUGAAGCAGAAGGUUGAUUCUCCUGCAGGAGGACAGCUUAAGAACCUGACUGAAGGAGAAGCAAUAGAUCGGCUGGCUAGGGAACCUUUGAAUGCUACAACACUGUUCCUUGCUAUGCUGUCUGUGGUGAUUAUACCAGCAAUGGGGACCAAGCAACUGGGCUUAUAUUCCUCAUCCUUCCAUUAACAAAGGGUGGGAAGGAGAUUAAUGCUACUAGUUCCAUAAACCUGCCAUUUUGUACGACGUGGGUUACCAACAAGGAGCUCUACUGUGUACAUUGGCAACAAGGUAAAAAGAGGAAGGCCAGCAGUCUGGAUGCCGGAGAAGCUGUGGAGACUGUGGCAAGACUCAUCUGUGUUGAUUCUAGUCCAGAAACUCACUGAAAGAAUAUUAAGAAGAACUCAUUGGAUGACUGGAUUGAUUAUUGCUGUGGUUAUGGGAAUUAUUGCAUUGACUUCUACUGCUGCAACACCUGGAUUGGCCCUUCAUAAAGAAAUUGCUGAAUUUGUGAGAGAUCGGCAUCGGCAUUCUGCAGAACUUUGGGCUCAACAAAAUAAAAUAGCCAGUGAGAUAGUUAAUGAAAUAGCUGACUUGAAACAAGCUGUGUUACCUUCCAGAGAAAGAGACUUUGGAAGAAUAAAUUAAAGUAAAAUGUGAUUGGAAUAUUACCUCGUAUUGUAUUAAGGUUUAAUGAAAGCGAGUUUGACUGAGAAAAAGGUUAAAAUGCAUUUGUUGAGUCACCCUAAGUCUUCUCAAGUGAUUUAUGAUUUACAACAAGAAAUUAAGGAAACUUUUUCAAAUAAAUUGCCUGGG